CUCCAGACUCCUACGGGAGGCAGCAGUGGGGAAUAUUGCACAAUGGGGGAAACCCUGAUGCAGCGACGCCGCGUGAGCGAUGAAGUAUUUCGGUGUGUAAAGCUCUAUCAGCAGGGAAGAAAAUGACGGUACCUGACUAAGAAGCCCCGGCUAACUACGUGCCAGCAGCCGCGGUAAUACGUAGGGGGCAAGCGUUAUCCGGAUUUACUGGGUGUAAAGGGAGCGUAGACGGCUGUGCAAGCCAGAUGUGAAAGCCCGGGGCUCAACCCCGGGACUGCAUUUGGAACUGUGUGGCUGGAGUGUCGGAGAGGCAGGCGGAAUUCCUAGUGUAGCGGUGAAAUGCGUAGAUAUUAGGAGGAACACCAGUGGCGAAGGCGGCCUGCUGGACUGCAACUGACGUUGAGGCUCGAAGGCGUGGGGAGCAAACAGGAUUAGAUACCCCCGUAU
rnacentral:rRNA from 1 species